AGUGGGGAAUAUUGGACAAUGGGCGCAAGCCUGAUCCAGCAAUGCCGCGUGUGUGAAGAAGGCCUGCGGGUUGUAAAGCACUUUUAUCGGGGAAGAACAGGUUGUCGUUAAUAGCGGCAACACCUGACAUUACCCGUUGAAUAAGCACCGGCUAACUCCGUGCCAGCAGCCGCGGUAAUACGGAGGGUGCGAGCGUUAAUCGGAAUUACUGGGCGUAAAGCGUGCGUAGGCGGAGAUCCAAGUCUGAUGUGAAAGCCCCGGGCUCAACCUGGGAACGGCAUUGGAAACUGGGUUUCUAGAGUGUGGUAGAGGAUAGUGGAAUUUCCAGUGUAGCGGUGAAAUGCGUAGAUAUUGGAAAGAACACCGAUGGCGAAGGCAGCUAUCUGGGCCAACACUGACGCUGAGGUACGAAAGCGUGGGGAGCAAACAGGAUUAGAUACCCUGGUAGUCCACGCCCUAAACGAUGUCGACUUGUCGUUGGGGGANNNUAGUCCUUCAGUGACGGAGCUAACGCGUUAAGUCGA
rnacentral:rRNA from 1 species